GACGAACGCUGGCGGCGUGCUUUACACAUGCAAGUCGAACGGAGAAGCACCUUCGGGUGUGGAUCAGUGGCAAACGGGUGAGUAACACGUGGGUAACCUGCCCCUCACUUCGGGAUAACUCCGGGAAACCGGGGCUAAUACUGGAUAUCACCAGACCGGGCAUCCGGACUGGUUGAAAGGGUUUACUGGUGAGGGAUGGACCCGCGGCCUAUCAGCUAGUUGGUGGGGUAAUGGCCUACCAAGGCGACGACGGGUAGCCGGCCUGAGAGGGCGACCGGCCACACUGGGACUGAGACACGGCCCAG
rnacentral:rRNA from 1 species